rnacentral:rRNA from 1 species
GAUGAACGCUGACAGAAUGCUUAACACAUGCAAGUCUUUGGCGAAGCUGUGCUUGCACAGCCUAGCCAAGGCGGACGGGUGAGUAACGCGUAAGGAACUUGCCCUGCAGUCAGGGAUAACAGACGGAAACGACUGAUAAGACCUGGUAAAGUCAGGCGGACUCAUGUCCAGCCUGAUGAAAAGAGAUGCUGCAGGAGAGCCUUGCGUCCUAUUAGCUUGUUGGUGGGGUAACGGCCCACCAAGGCGAUGAUAGGUAGCCGGCCUGAGAGGGUGGACGGCCACAAGGGGAGUGGGAUACGGCCCUUACGACUACGGGAGGAAGCAGUGGAGAAUAUUGGACAAUGGGGGCAACCCUGAUCCAGCAAUUCUGUGUGCACGAUGAAGGUUUUCGGAGUGUAAAGUGCUUGCAGCAGGGAAGAAAAAAAUGACGGUACCUGCAGAAGAAGCGACGGCUAAAUACGUG